GGAGACAUAGCUCAGGGGUAGAGCGCUCUCUUAGCAUGGGAUAGGCCUGGGCAUCGAUUCCCUAUCUCUUCA
rnacentral:tRNA from 1 species